UACAGAGGAUGCAAGCGUUAUCCGGAAUGAUUGGGCGUAAAGCGUCUGUAGGUGGCUUUUUAAGUCCGCCGUCAAAUCCCAGGGCUCAACUCUGGACAGGCGGUGGAAACUACCAAGCUGGAGUACGGUAGGGGCAGAGGGAAUUUCCGGUGGAGCGGUGAAAUGCGCAGAUAUCAGGAGGAACACCAAUAGCGAAGGCAGCUCGCUGGGACGUUACUGACACUGAGGCGCGAAAGCGUGGGGAGCGAACAGG
rnacentral:rRNA from 1 species